CCUACGGGCGGCUGCAGUGGGGAAUAUUGGACAAUGGGGGCAACCCUGAUCCAGCCAUGCCGCGUGUGUGAAGAAGGCCCUCGGGUUGUAAAGCACUUUCAGUGAGGAAGAACGCCUGGUGGUUAAUACCCAUCAGGAAAGACAUCACUCACAGAAGAAGCACCGGCUAACUCCGUGCCAGCAGCCGCGGUAAUACGGAGGGUGCGAGCGUUAAUCGGAAUUACUGGGCGUAAAGCGCGCGUAGGUGGCUUGAUAAGCCGGUUGUGAAAGCCCCGGGCUCAACCUGGGAACGGCAUCCGGAACUGUCAAGCUAGAGUGCAGGAGAGGAAGGUAGAAUUCCCGGUGUAGUGGUGAAAUGCGUAGAGAUCGGGAGGAAUACCAGUGGCGAAGGCGGCCUUCUGGACUGACACUGACACUGAGGUGCGAAAGCGUGGGUAGCAAACAGGAUUAGAUACCCUAGUAGUC
rnacentral:rRNA from 1 species